AGAGCGGGGUUGAAGAACAGAGGGAAAUGUCGAACAAUCUCGAAGGCAAAGGCGAUAACAAUAUCUCAAAAGCAGAGGAGGUGGAUUCGCAACCUGAUAUGGCCGCCACGUCUGCUGCCAUGGAUGGAGUUGCGGCAGCGGCCCUUCGGUCUGUGCUACAGCGGGUCCAUCACGCCGCUGAGCGGUCCGGACGCGGGCCUAACCAAGUAAGUGUUGUUGCUGUUAGCAAGACCAAACCUAUCUCUGUCAUCCGCCAAGUCUACGAUGCCGGUCAUCGGGUUUUCGGUGAAAAUUACGUGCAAGAGAUCCUGGAAAAAGCUCCUCAGCUUCCGGAGGAUAUCGAGUGGCAUUUUAUUGGGAAUUUACAGAGUAAUAAAGUGAAACCCUUAUUAACUGGUGUGCCAAACCUUGCCAUGGUAGAGAGUGUAGACGAUGAGAAGAUUGCCAAUAAUCUUGAUCGCGUGGUUGGAAGCAUUGGUAGGAAGCCUUUGAAGGUGUUGGUCCAAGUGAAUACCAGUGGUGAAGCCACAAAAUAUGGCAUGGAGCCCUCUGGUUGCGUAGAACUCGCGAAACAUGUUAGUCUGGACUGCCCAAACCUUGAAUUUUGUGGCCUUAUGACAAUAGGGAUGCCCGACUAUACCUCAACUCCGGAGAAUUUCAAGACGUUAGCAAACUGCAGAAGUGAGGUUUGCAAGGCACUUGGAAUACCAGAAGAGCAAUGUGAGUUGUCAAUGGGCAUGUCUAAUGACUUCGAGCAAGCUUUUGUCAUUUCUUACUCCUGGGCUGAUGUGGAAGGAGGUUUUGGGGCUAGUGACUGCCGACGGAGGGGAUAGAAGCAUUAGGGAGUAGUCUGGAUUACCAAUACUGGGACUCAGAUUAAGUUCUGUUGAUAGAUAGAAGAUGAGACUAUAUGCUAGUUCAUAUUGAAAUGGGAAGUACCAUUGUCAGAAUUGGAUCUACCAUCUUUGGUGCCAGGGAAUAUCCAAAGAAGAAAUCAAACUAGAGGAGCUCUUUCCUCCUACCUUCACCUGAGAAUGUGGUCAUACUGCCAGUCUGCCAUAGCCAUAUUUCCAUAUGAGCUGUAGAGGAGCAAGCUCUCUCUUUUUGCUGCGAUACUUACUCAUAAAUUGAACAUCUCAAAGACUUUUAGAAUAAUAUUCUUCACAUGAAUGAUGAGUGUAUUGUAGACCACAUACGUACUUGUACAAUUUAUCUGGAGUGGGUAGACAUUUGCUUAUUUUUAUGGAUGCCAUUGAGAUGAGUAUUAAAGAAUGUGAAGUUAAUAUCCA